CUAGAUUCUUGUACAGUGAUAAAAUCGUCGUAAAACAACCCUGAUAUUCGUCGGAGUUAAUACAAUUUAUCCAAGUUAGAUUCGUUCAAGUUCAAAGAAUCGACGGAAGUAUUUAAUUGUUCGAUUAGAGGCGAAAGCACGCGUUCAACAUCGAUGGAUAAGGGCGAAGAUUUCCCAUUGGGGCGUCGCUAAAUGGGAAACUACACCGAGGAAACCAACGGUCGAAAACGGCUUAUGACGAAGGAUGCUGGUCGAGAAAGGAACGGCGAGAUUGAACUAACAACCGGACGAGCAAUUAGUAUGUUUUUAAACUGGCGCUAACUAGUCGACGAAACCCACACGAUAUCUACACGAAACAAGCCCACAUCUCCACUUUCGCUUUCGACACUUGUUCAUACACGAAGAAAAUCCAAGGAACAAGUUCCGAAGCUAGAAAAUUACAACUGUUACCACGAUUUGUGCAUCGAUCAGUGCACCGAAGAAAGGUCAUCCACUCGAAAAAAAAGAAAAAAAGAGGAAAGACUUGUCGUCUAGCUGAUAAGACAGCGACAAUAAGAAAUUAGCAAACACCAAGCUGAAGGAUAGGAGGACCGUAGAAAAG
rnacentral:misc_RNA from 1 species